UGGGGAAUAUUGGACAAUGGGCGAAAGCCUGAUCCAGCCAUGCCGCGUGUGUGAAGAAGGUCUUCGGAUUGUAAAGCACUUUAAGUUGGGAGGAAGGGCAUUAACCUAAUACGUUAGUGUUUUGACGUUACCGACAGAAUAAGCACCGGCUAACUCUGUGCCAGCAGCCGCGGUAAUACAGAGGGUGCAAGCGUUAAUCGGAAUUACUGGGCGUAAAGCGCGCGUAUGUGGUUUGUUAAGUUGGAUGUGAAAUCCCCGGGCUCAACCUGGGAACUGCAUUCAAAACUGACUGACUAGAGUAUGGUAGAGGGUGGUGGAAUUUCCUGUGUAGCGGUGAAAUGCGUAGAUAUAGGAAGGAACACCAGUGGCGAAGGCGACCACCUGGACUAAUACUGACACUGAGGUGCGAAAGCGUGGGGAGCAAACA
rnacentral:rRNA from 1 species